rnacentral:misc_RNA from 1 species
GAUGAAGAACGUAGCGAAAUGCGAUAAGUAAUGUGAAUUGCAGAAUUCAGUGAAUCAUCGAAUCUUUGAACGCACAUUGCGCCCCUUGGUAUUCCGAGGGGCAUGCCUGUUCGAGCGUCAUUAUAACCCCUCAAGCUCGGCUUGGUGUUGGGGCCUGCCGCACGGGCAGCCCUUGAAAUCAGUGGCGGUGCCAUCUGGCUCUAAGCGUAGUAAUUCUUCUCGCUAUAGAGUCCCGGUGGAUGCUUGCCAUUAACCCCCAAUUUCAAUGGUUGACCUCGGAUCAGGUAGGGAUACCCGCUGAACUUAAGCAUAUCAAUAAGCGGAGGA